UUAAGCGACUAAGCGUACACGGUGGAUGCCCUGGCAGUCAGAGGCGAUGAAGGGCGUGCUAAUCUGCGAUAAGCGCCGGUAAGGUGAUAUGAACCGUUAUAACCGGCGAUACCCGAAUGGGGAAACCCAGUGUGAUUCGUCACACUAUCAUUAACUGAAUCCAUAGGUUAAUGAGGCGAACCGGGGGAACUGAAACAUCUAAGUACCCCGAGGAAAAGAAAUCAACCGAGAUUCCCCCAGUAGCGGCGAGCGAACGGGGAGGAGCCCAGAGCCUGAAUCAGCAUGUGUGUUAGUGGAAGCGUCUGGAAAGGCGCGCGAUACAGGGUGACAGCCCCGUACACAAAAGCGCAUGUGCUGUGAGCUCGAUGAGUAGGGCGGGACACGUGGUAUCCUGUCUGAAUAUGGGGGGACCAUCCUCCAAGGCUAAAUACUCCUGACUGACCGAUAGUGAACCAGUACCGUGAGGGAAAGGCGAAAAGAACCCCGGCGAGGGGAGUGAAAAAGAACCUGAAACCGUGUACGUACAAGCAGUGGGAGCACCCUUUGGGUGUGACUGCGUACCUUUUGUAUAAUGGGUCAGCGACUUAUAUUCUGUAGCAAGGUUAACCGAAUAGGGGAGCCGGAGGGAAACCGAGUCUUAAUUGGGCGUUAAGUUGCAGGGUAUAGACCCGAAACCCGGUGAUCUAGCCAUGGGCAGGUUGAAGGUUGGGUAACACUAACUGGAGGACCGAACCGACUAAUGUUGAAAAAUUAGCGGAUGACCUGUGGCUGGGGGUGAAAGGCCAAUCAAACCGGGAGAUAGCUGGUUCUCCCCGAAAGCUAUUUAGGUAGCGCCUCGUGAAUUCAUCUCCGGGGGUAGAGCACUGUUUCGGCUAGGGGGCCAUCCCGGCUUACCAACCCGAUGCAAACUGCGAAUACCGGAGAAUGUUAUCACGGGAGACACACGGCGGGUGCUAACGUCCGUCGUGAAGAGGGAAACAACCCAGACCGCCAGCUAAGGUCCCAAAGUCAUGGUUAAGUGGGAAACGAUGUGGGAAGGCCCAGACAGCCAGGAUGUUGGCUUAGAAGCAGCCAUCAUUUAAAGAAAGCGUAAUAGCUCACUGGUCGAGUCGGCCUGCGCGGAAGAUGUAACGGGGCUAAACCAUGCACCGAAGCUGCGGCAGCGACACUGUGUGUUGUUGGGUAGGGGAGCGUUCUGUAAGCCUGUGAAGGUGUGUCGUGAGGCAUGCUGGAGGUAUCAGAAGUGCGAAUGCUGACAUAAGUAACGAUAAAGCGGGUGAAAAGCCCGCUCGCCGGAAGACCAAGGGUUCCUGUCCAACGUUAAUCGGGGCAGGGUGAGUCGACCCCUAAGGCGAGGCCGAAAGGCGUAGUCGAUGGGAAACGGGUUAAUAUUCCCGUACUUGGUGUUACUGCGAAGGGGGGACGGAGAAGGCUAUGUUGGCCGGGCGACGGUUGUCCCGGUUUAAGCGUGUAGGUGUGUGUUCCAGGUAAAUCCGGUUCACUUUAACACUGAGGCGUGACGACGAGGCACUACGGUGCUGAAGCAACAAAUGCCCUGCUUCCAGGAAAAGCCUCUAAGCAUCAGGUAACAUCAAAUCGUACCCCAAACCGACACAGGUGGUCAGGUAGAGAAUACCAAGGCGCUUGAGAGAACUCGGGUGAAGGAACUAGGCAAAAUGGUGCCGUAACUUCGGGAGAAGGCACGCUGACACGUAGGUGAAGUGAUUUACUCAUGGAGCUGAAGUCAGUCGAAGAUACCAGCUGGCUGCAACUGUUUAUUAAAAACACAGCACUGUGCAAACACGAAAGUGGACGUAUACGGUGUGACGCCUGCCCGGUGCCGGAAGGUUAAUUGAUGGGGUCAGCGCAAGCGAAGCUCCUGAUCGAAGCCCCGGUAAACGGCGGCCGUAACUAUAACGGUCCUAAGGUAGCGAAAUUCCUUGUCGGGUAAGUUCCGACCUGCACGAAUGGCGUAAUGAUGGCCAGGCUGUCUCCACCCGAGACUCAGUGAAAUUGAACUCGCUGUGAAGAUGCAGUGUACCCGCGGCAAGACGGAAAGACCCCGUGAACCUUUACUAUAGCUUGACACUGAACAUUGAGCCUUGAUGUGUAGGAUAGGUGGGAGGCUUUGAAGUGUGGACGCCAGUCUGCAUGGAGCCGACCUUGAAAUACCACCCUUUAAUGUUUGAUGUUCUAACGUGGACCCGUUACCCGGGUUGCGGACAGUGUCUGGUGGGUAGUUUGACUGGGGCGGUCUCCUCCUAAAGAGUAACGGAGGAGCACGAAGGUUGGCUAAUCCUGGUCGGACAUCAGGAGGUUAGUGCAAUGGCAUAAGCCAGCUUGACUGCGAGCGUGACGGCGCGAGCAGGUGCGAAAGCAGGUCAUAGUGAUCCGGUGGUUCUGAAUGGAAGGGCCAUCGCUCAACGGAUAAAAGGUACUCCGGGGAUAACAGGCUGAUACCGCCCAAGAGUUCAUAUCGACGGCGGUGUUUGGCACCUCGAUGUCGGCUCAUCACAUCCUGGGGCUGAAGUAGGUCCCAAGGGUAUGGCUGUUCGCCAUUUAAAGUGGUACGCGAGCUGGGUUUAGAACGUCGUGAGACAGUUCGGUCCCUAUCUGCCGUGGGCGCUGGAGAACUGAGGGGGGCUGCUCCUAGUACGAGAGGACCGGAGUGGACGCAUCACUGGUGUUCGGGUUGUCAUGCCAAUGGCACUGCCCGGUAGCUAAAUGCGGAAGAGAUAAGUGCUGAAAGCAUCUAAGCACGAAACUUGCCCCGAGAUGAGUUCUCCCUGAGACUUAAAGUCUCCUGAAGGAACGUUGAAGACGACGACGUUGAUAGGCCGGGUGUGUAAGCGCAGCGAUGCGUUGAGCUAACCGGUACUAAUGAACCGUGAGGCUUAACCUU
rnacentral:rRNA from 1 species